rnacentral:misc_RNA from 1 species
GAUGAAGAACGUAGCGAAAUGCGAUAAGUAAUGUGAAUUGCAGAAUUCAGUGAAUCAUCGAAUCUUUGAACGCACAUUGCGCCCGCCAGUAUUCUGGCGGGCAUACCUGUCUGAGCGUCAUUUCAACCCUCAUGCCCCUAGGGCGUGGUGUUGGGGAUCGGCCAAAGCCCGCGAGGGACGGCCGGCCCCUAAAUCUAGUGGCGGACCCGUCGUGGCCUCCUCUGCGAAGUAGUGAUAUUCCGCAUCGGAGAGCGAUGAGCCCCUGCCGUUAAACCCCCAACUUUCCAAGGUUGACCUCAGAUCAGGUAGGAAUACCCGCUGAACUUAAGCAUAUCAAUAAGCGGAGGA